CUGGUGUACACAAACCUACUGCCUGAUCACCAGUGACCUGAUUAGCUGCAGAUGUCUGAGUGGUCAGACCCACACCGGGAUGUGAAUCAGAGCUGCAGAAUUGCCUCCGGUUGAAUCGUGGACAAGGAGGAAAAUGUUUUAGAAGAAUUAAUGUGAAGUCAGUGCUGGAGGCUAGUGACUAGUGAGACAAAAG